AAAAAAACUUGAAAUAGUUUAAUUUGCUAAUCAAAAUGGUUUCUAAAAAUAAUAUUUUUGUUUAUAUUUCUUUGGUUAUUCUACUAAUAAUAUCCUCACAAAUUGUUGCAAGAGAGAUGAAUUCUGAGGCCCCUGCUCCACUUACCCAAGCAAUGAAUGGAAAUACCACUAAUGAGGCAAAGGGAGUGUUUUUUCAUGGGCACCAUUUACUGAGGAAUCUUGGUAGGAUUUUCAGAAUUGGCCAAGUUAUAUAUUGUAACUAUUGCUCAACUUGCAAUGGCCUUUGUGGCUAUUGUUGUGUCUAAAGCUAACAUCAGAAAUCCGCAACCUCCUCUUUAAUCACGCGCUUUACAAAAAUACAUCUUUUUAAGUUUAUAUAUAAUUAAGACUUAUGUAACUGUAUUGGUGUGACAAAUAAAGGAAAGUUAUGAAUAGAGUCCCUAUUCACUUUCAUCUAGUAAAAUUACUUGUGUUUUGUUUUG